rnacentral:rRNA from 1 species
GACGAACGCUGGCGGCGUGCUUAACACAUGCAAGUCGAACGGAAAGGCCCUGCUUUUGUGGGGUGCUCGAGUGGCGAACGGGUGAGUAACACGUGAGUAACCUGCCCUUGACUUUGGGAUAACUUCAGGAAACUGGGGCUAAUACCGGAUAGGAGCUCCUGCUGCAUGGUGGGGGUUGGAAAGUUUCGGCGGUUGGGGAUGGACUCGCGGCUUAUCAGCUUGUUGGUGGGGUAGUGGCUUACCAAGGCUUUGACGGGUAGCCGGCCUGAGAGGGUGACCGGCCACAUUGGGACUGAGAUACGGCCCAGACUCCUACGGGAGGCAGCAGUGGGGAAUAUUGCACAAUGGGCGGAAGCCUGAUGCAGCAACGCCGCGUGCGGGAUGACGGCCUUCGGGUUGGAAACCGCUUUCGCCUGUGACGAAGCGUGAGUGACGGUAAUGGGUAAGAAGCACCGGCUAACUACGUG